rnacentral:rRNA from 1 species
GACGAACGCGGCGGCGUGCCUAAUACAUGCAAGUAGAACGCUGAAAGAGGAGCUUGCUUCUCUGGAUGAGUUGCGAACGGGUGAGUAACGCGUAGGUAACCUGCCUGGUAGCGGGGGAUAACUAUUGGAAACGAUAGCUAAUACCGCAUAAGAGUAGAUGUUGCAUGACAUUUGCUUAAAAGGUGCAAUUGCAUCACUACCAGAUGGACCUGCGUUGUAUUAGCUAGUUGGUGGGGUAACGGCUCACCAAGGCGACGAUACAUAGCCGACCUGAGAGGGUGAUCGGCCACACUGGGACUGAGACACGGCCCAGACUCCUACGGGAGGCAGCAGUAGGGAAUCUUCGGCAAUGGACGGAAGUCUGACCGAGCAACGCCGCGUGAGUGAAGAAGGUUUUCGGAUCGUAAAGCUCUGUUGUAAGAGAAGAACGAGUGUGAGAGUGGAAAAGUUCACACUGUGACGG